rnacentral:rRNA from 1 species
UACGUAGGGGGCUAGCGUUGUCCGGAAUCAUUGGGCGUAAAGCGCGCGUAGGCGGCCCGGUAAGUCCGCUGUAAAAGUCAAAGGCUCAACCUUUGAAUGUCAGUGGAUACUGCCGGGCUAGAGUCCGGAAGAGGCGAGUGGAACUCCUGGUGUAGCGGUGGAAUGCGCAGAUAUCAGGAAGAACACCCGUGGCUAAGGCGGCUCUCUAGUACGGUACUGACGCUGAGACGCGAAAGCGUGGGGAGCGAACAGG